rnacentral:lncRNA from 1 species
GGACACAUCCAAUAUAUUUCCCAAACUGCUUUUCUUAGGGCUCAGCUAUACAGCUGCAAAUAAAACAUUUUAAGUGUGUUGUAAAGUGCAAUAUACAAAUGUGACACUAGAUGGUGGCAAUGAGCUAUGCAAAAUUCAAUGUAUUUUUCAAAAUGUUUUUUAAAAAAGCAUUUUCACAGUGUUUUUUUUUAUAUGUGGGUAGAUUCCACCUUGGUAAUGUUUCCAAAAUAUAUCCUGAAAAUAAUACCAAAGAUCUGUUAGGAUAUAAAAUGCCAAUACAAGCAAGACCUGCAACAGUUUUGCAGUCAGUUGUAUCUAUUCUGAUUUUUCAUUCAUGUUUUCCCCAUUUGCAUGCUUAUUUAUUUCUCCUAAGAAUGUCCUUCAAAGAGCAUUUGCUGUAUAUUUCUUUAAUGGCAACUAUGACUAUACCCUUUUACACACUCCUCUAAUCUAUCAUUAAGAAGACUGAUUUACUGCAUUUAGGAGAAGAGAGAAACACUUAGAGAUAAUGCAUUUGAGUAAGAAAAAUACUAUAAAAAAUUAAAAUUAAGAACUUUGGUGCUGAAACAGAGAGCAAGACAUUUGAGCUGGUGCAGGGGGGCAGAUUAGGGAUCUGACUGAUAGCUCUCAUAGGUAUAGGAGAUGAUCACAUGCAACUGAUUGUACACCUAUUUGUUUUUGCUGAAUAUUUGUAGUAGUAUGUAAAGGUAAAGGGACCCCUGACCAUUAGGUCCAGUUGUGGCUGACUCUGGGGUUGCGGUGCUCAUCUUGCUUUAUUGGCCGAGGGAGCCGGCGUACAUCUUCCGGGUCAUGUGUCGCUUUACUGGCCGAGGGAGCCGACAUUUGUCUGCAGACAGUUUUUCCGGGUCAUGUGGCCAGCAUGACUAAGCCGCUUCUUGAGAAACCAGAGCAGCGCACGGAAAUGCUGUUUACCUUCCCACCGGAGUGGUACCUAUGUAUCUACUUGCACUUUGAUGUGCUUUCGAACUGCUAGGUUGGCAGGAGCAGGGACCGAGCAACAGGAGCUCACCCCGUUGCAGGGAUUCGAACCGCCGACUUUCUGAUCGCAAGCCCUAGGCUCUGUGGUUUAACCCACAGCGCCACCUGCAUCCCUUUUGUAGUAGUAUAAAGCAGCUUUAAUACAGUUUCCCAUAUUUCUAUGAACAGUUUCAUGCUUCAUCCUCCCUGAAAUUGUUUUACGUACUUCACAGCCCUGGCUUUCUAUUUCUGUCAACUACUUCAUGUUUUCUACAACAAGUGAACAUUCCACAUGCUCACAGAACAUUUGGAAGGAAAACAUCUUUUUUUCUGAAUGUGUAUGUGCACAUUAUUGGCUUUGGGGGCCUGCAGUGUAUACAACUCACAAGGCCUCAGUUUGAGCAAGUUGAUCACAUGGAGCUGUCCGUGAUAUUGCAGCCUGCCUUGCCCCUGUGGGUACCUGAUAGGGACAGGUUAGAGCAAUUUGGAUCUGCAAGCCACAUUCCUCCCUGCUCCACUGGAAGACAUUUCCACAGAUGGAAGCAAAGUGGCAACAGUGGUGUUAUCCCACCAGCAUACCCCUAUCUCCACCAGUGGAGCAACAAAAUUAUGCCUCUUCCUGCUCCCCCUCAGGCAGCUUCCAGUGUUCAUAAGCAUCUGAACCAGUUGACCUUGCCAUAGUGAAGGCUACUGCAUUUUUGGAUUAAUUUUCUAAAACUAUGGCACCAUCUGUCAACUACCAUCUCUUCCAGACAUUCUACACAAGGCAAAAUUUUGCAAAACGGAGAAAAUGGAAAUGAAGCACAUCUUGUGGAAUGGUGUUUCUAAAGUUUGGCCAGAGGGAUGGCAGGUGGGAUUAAACCCAGCGCACUACCAUCUAGCUCUGAAUACAGCAGGGCACUGCAGGGAAGCCAGGCCCUUCUAUCAAUGGUUUUAUUUAUGUAUGUAUUAUUUUAAUACAUACAGAAAAGUGGAGCAUUAUCAAAAUUAACGAAAACAUGGCUAAGCCUCAGAUCAAUAAAACACUGGAUGCUAAACAGUACAGUUAGAUUUCUGCAAAACUGCAAGUCUGAAAAUGAAGAGAAAGAAGAGCCCAACUUUUGCCAUACUGCCUAAAGAAGAACAGGGUUGGGUCCUGGUGAAUCUGGAAGGCAGUUCACAAAGGUAGCACCUGCUGCUUCAAGUAGACGUCCAACAAGCUUUAUUAGGCAGUCAAGGACGCCUUCUGCCACUGCUAGGGAAGUGAAUAGUGCUACAUGGCCACUGCAGAAGCUCCCUCACUGCUCUACAUAGCUAGGAGACCUGCUCUUGCUGCAUAAAAGUUGUCACUUCCCUCCCCUUCUACCUUUGCUCACCCCACACUCAGCUGCACAGGGAUGUGGAUCUGACACAUAAGAAAGUUUCCACAGCUGUUCACAUAAGCACAGGUGAAACAGACCUGUACACAUAAAGCUCACAUGCCCAGCUGCAUUCCUGUGUGUAUUUUAGCAUGAACAAUAAGGACCAGGGGAUUCCACCCCCCUCAUCCUGCCCACACACAGCCACCCUGGGUGCCAUGAAGCCACCUCUGCCGCCGAUCAGCUCAGCCAUAGAUUUUUAGUUUUUUAGUUUUUUACAUACACACAUU